AUACUUUCCUGGCAGGGAGAUACCAUGAUCUCGAAGGUGGUUUUCCCAGGGCUAGGCUUGUCCACUGCACUCCAGAUGUGCUGACUCCUGUGGGAAUGUGGGAAACUACAUUUCCCAAAUGUGGGAAACUAAACUGCAUAAUUUGUGGUAGUUGGGGGCUGCAUUCACUUUCUCCCU
rnacentral:snRNA from 1 species